AUACGUAGGGGGCGAGCGUUGUCCGGAAUGAUUGGGUUUAAAGGGAGCGUAGGCGGGAGCUUAAGUCAGCGGUUAAAUGGUGCGGCUCAACCGUGCCCUGCCGUUGAAACUGGGUUUCUUGAGAGUGCAAGAGGCGGAUGGAAUUCAUGGGGUAGCGGGGAAAUGCUUAGAUAUCUUGAAGAACUCCGAUUGCGAAGGCAGUCCGCUGGGGCACGUCUGACGCUGAUGCUCGAAGGUGCGGGAAUCAAACAGGAUUAGAUACCCUGGUAGUCCGCACGGUAAACGAUGAUUACCCGCUGUCGGCGGCAGACAGUCGGCGGCCAAGCGAAAGCGAUAAGUAAUCCACCUGGGGAGUACGCCGGCAACGGUGAAACUCAAAUGAAUUGACGGGG
rnacentral:rRNA from 1 species